CAGGCUUGAGAUUAUAUUUACAAAACUACUUAAACAUCUGUACGCCUCUCUCAUCUCGGCCUCCUCGUGUUAAGCGAACUUCAUCGAAGAAAUGUAACUUAGAUGUGAUAAUUUGAGCACCUGCUGCCGGCCGCCUCGCGAUGGCGCUGCUUCCUGCUCUGAUCUAGCGAGCGGAUCCCGCUGCAGGAGUGAAACAGCAGGGUUUAAACAAGACCUGGAAUAAUUGAAUGGAACGACAGGGUGCAAGACCAACCGCCAGGAGACCAGUGUUUGGUUUGAAGCAGACAGCAUGGUGCCCUACAUCCUGGAUUGUUGCUACAGAUUUGAGGCCAGCUUGGGCUGCAUAAUGAUUUCCAGACCAGCCUCAGCUACAGAGUAAGACAAUUCUGGGAAAUGGCGGGUACAUUAUUAACUAACAGUGCAAGGGACACUUCUGUACGCUUUGAUUUUUUGCUAGGUGUGAGCAAAUAAUAACAAGGUGCACUCUAAUAAAAGUCAAAUAAAUGGCUA